UAACUUUCAGCAACGGAUCUCUUGGCUCUCGCAUCGAUGAAGAACGCAGCGAAAUGCGAUAAGUAAUGUGAAUUGCAGAAUUCAGUGAAUCAUCGAAUCUUUGAACGCACCUUGCGCUCCUUGGUAUUCCGAGGAGCAUGCCUGUUUGAGUGUCAUGG
rnacentral:rRNA from 6 species